AUUGAACGCUGGCGGCAGGCCUAACACAUGCAAGUCGAGCGGAUGAGAGGAGCUUGCUUCUCGAUUCAGCGGAGGACGGGCGAGGAAUGCCUAGGAAUCUGCCUGGUAGUGGGGGACAACGUUUCGAAAGGAACGCUAAUACCGCAUACGUCCUACGGGAGAAAGCAGGGGACCUUCGGGCCUUGCGCUAUCAGAUGAGCCUAGGUCGGAUUAGCUAGUAGGUGAGGUAAUGGCUCACCAAGGCGACGAUCCGUAACUGGUCUGAGAGGAUGUGCUGUCACCUGGGAACUCAGACCCGGUCGAUGCCCCUACGGGAGGCAGCCGUGGGUAAUAUUGGACAAUGGGCGGAAGCCUGAUCCAGCCAUGCAGCGUGUGUGAAGUAGGUCUUCGGAUUGUAAAGCACUUUAAGUUGUGAGGAAUGGUUGUAGAUUAAUACUCUUCAAUUUUGACGUUACCGACAGAAUAAGCACCGGCUAACUCUGUGCCAGCCGCCGCCGUAAUAC
rnacentral:rRNA from 1 species